rnacentral:piRNA from 2 species
UGGCCACCAAGAUACAAUAGAUGUUGAGGC